GGCUCUUUGUUAGAAAUAAGACGAGGAGUCUAACCUGCCCGGUGAGGCGUGUUCCUUUAACGGCUGCAUUAAUUUGUACUAAGGUAGCUGAAUUUCCUUGCCCGAUAAUUGUGGGCUAUGUGAAUGGUUGGACGAGGGCUCAACUGUCUCGAUACUGGUGAGAUGAAAAUGGAGUGUUGGGGAAAGUGCUGACAUGGCGUAGAGGGAAGAGAAGACCCCGUGGAACUUUAGGGUUAGCUUUGCGUGUGGGGUCAGGCUUACUCUGGUUUGGGGGGCUGGCGAUGCACGCAGAGUAUCACAUUAGCUGGGGCAGCUGGGUAAGCAGAGAAUAUUACCCCUUUCUUUAAGGGCUUGCUUGCUAUAAAAGAUCCACUUUAAGUGAUCAUGGGAAUUAGUUACCCCGGGGGUAACAGGCUUAUCUCGCUCUAAAAGCUCGUAUUGAUGAGCGGGUUUGGCACCUCGAUGUUGGCUUAGGGUACCCU
rnacentral:rRNA from 1 species